UUCAGAGAAAGUUGCAGAGAUCAGGGGCC
rnacentral:piRNA from 1 species